rnacentral:rRNA from 1 species
AUUUGAAGAGUUCAGUUUAAACCCCUUUACAAGUUACAAUUGAAGGGCAAGUCUGGUGCCAGCAGCCGCGGUAAUUCCAGCUCCAAUAGCGUAUAUUAAAGUUGUUGCAGUUAAAAAGCUCGUAGUUAAUUUUCUGUUAAUUUUUAUAUACAAUGCUACGGUAUUUAUAUAAUAUUAACAUAAUUCAUAUUACUUUUUAGUAUAUGAAACUUUACUUUGAGAAAAUUAGAGUGCUUAAAGCAGGAAAAUGAAUAAAAAAUUCCAGCAUGGAAUUAUUUUAGGG